AUGUAGAGCUGUAUCACCAUGCAGCUCUCGCCUGGUUUUUCUCUCUGAAGAUAAGAAGGGUUGAGCCUGGCCAGUACCUGGAUGGGAGACCUCCUGGGGAAAACUAAGGUUUGCUGUUGGUA
rnacentral:rRNA from 1 species